rnacentral:lncRNA from 1 species
CCCUACCUGGUAAAAUCUCAUGAAUAAGUUCCGAUAUUUUGUUUCAGGAGAUGUGUAAAGUGGAAUCCAGUACAGAUUCAGGGUCGGACACGAGUCCAAGGUGGUCUGAUACGAGCGCCAAGGGAUGCGCAUCAUCAGGACACGAGAGACACGCUCUCCGGAAGGCAUCUUUUGUGCCGAAGCCGGCGGGGCACCAUCACCUGGUGCGUUUGGACCCAUACGAUGGCAGCUCGGAAGACUCCGAGGAGCCCAGCGGCCCCAGGGCGCACUGGCACAUGGGCUCCAGGAUGCACGGAAGGGGCUGGAGAGAGACUGGGAAAGGUGCGGUCAGGGCUGGCGUGAUGUCACAGGUUGCUGCAGACGUCCCCAUGAGGUCAUCCAGUGAUUCCGAAGCAUGGACAGAUGACACUGGAUUUCUGUCCCUGAGAAGCUCAAGGCCUCGCCUCGAGGAAACGCCCACAGACUCGGGAGUUCGCACGGAAUCAGAGCUGAGCAUGCCGGGGCUCUCCUGCACGCGUGUGACCCCUCCUGCGGACCCCAGUAGUCCCUCCCACCUGGCAAGAGCCCAUAAGCUGCAUCCCAGGUCCCCGGAGAGCCCUUCCGCUGACCGAAACUUCUCCAAACGCAAAUUGAGUCUUCCCGGGGCUGAAUCCGGGGAGCGUGACUUGAGGAAGCGCCAACGUGUCAUGGAGAUGGAAGUAGAUGAUGUGAGGGAAGAGCCAAGGGAAUGAGUUGAUGUUCUGGGGGGUCUGGGCAGAAGGGCACCUUACCCUGUUUACCGUGUUGGACACAACCACAUCCUGUUCAGCCUUAUUAAUUGGCAAUGAGCUCUUUUGGGGAUCUGUAAAAAUAUAUCUCUAGAUCACUUUCCAGCACAGGAUUCAUACCAAGGGAUAUUUGAAUUGGAGAGAUGUUUAAAACACUGCCUUCACUGUAAUGUUUACACUUUUGUUUCAGUUCUGGCCAUUGUUGUAUGCAGAGAGCAAGAACUUUUUUCUUAAGUGGUGAUUUUUUAAUUUUUUUUUUUUUUUUUUUUUUUAUUACUGAUUUUUAAUUUUUUUUCCUCCAAUGAUCUAAGUAAAAUAUUGUGGUUUAAUGUUCUUGCAUCUCCUGGCGUAGCUAAUGGAUACCAGCUGCUCUAUUUCUAUAUUCUUGACCUGCAGCAUAGAAUGGUAUGUGAACUGUGAUAAAUUUUGGGAUGUCAAGUUCUGUAGUAAAUUGGGUCUGUACUGAUAAUAUGUAUGGUUUGUAGUCCAAAUUUCAGGCUAAAGUGUUAGUGCUGGGGGGGCAUGGUGGUGCAGCAAGUUUGACUGGGUCCUGCUCUCUGGUGGGUCUGGGGUUCGAGUACCCCUUGGGGUGCCUUGCAACGGCUUGGCAUCCCGUCCUGGGUGUGUCCCCUCCCCCUCCCCCUCCAGCCUUAUAUCCUCUGUUGCUGGGUUAGGUUCCGGUUUGCUGCAACCCCACUUGGGACAAGUGGUUUCAGUCUGUGUGUG